rnacentral:rRNA from 1 species
ACUCCUACGGGUGGCAGCAGUGGGAAUAUUGGACAAUGGGCGAAAGCCUGAUCCAGCAAUGCCGCGUGAGUGAUGAAGGCCUUAGGGUUGUAAAGCUCUUUUACUAGGGAUGAUAAUGACAGUACCUAGAGAAUAAGCUCCGGCUAACUCCGUGCCAGCAGCCGCGGUAAUACGGAGGGUGCGAGCGUUAAUCGGAAUUACUGGGCGUAAAGCGCAUGCAGGCGGCCUGUUAAGUCAGAUGUGAAAGCCCGGGGCUUAACCUCGGAAUUGCAUUUGAAACUGGCAGGCUAGAGUCUUGUAGAGGGGGUAGAAUUUCAGGUGUAGCGGUGAAAUGCGUAGAGAUCUGAAGGAAUACCAGUGGCGAAGGCGGCCCCCUGGACAAAGACUGACGCUCAGAUGCGAAAGCGUGGGGAGCAAACAGGAUUAGAUACCCUGGUAGGUGA